UACGAAGGGGGCUAGCGUUGUUCGGAAUUACUGGGCGUAAAGCGCACGUAGGCGGACAUUUAAGUCAGGGGUGAAAUCCCGGGGCUCAACCCCGGAACGGCCUUUGAUACUGGGUGUCUUGAGUUCGGAAGAGGUGAGUGGAAUUGCGAGUGUAGAGGUGAAAUUCGUAGAUAUUCGGAAGAACACCAGUGGCGAAGGCGGCUCACUGGACCGGCAUUGACGCUGAGGUGCGAAAGCGUGGGGAGCAAACAGG
rnacentral:rRNA from 1 species